CUCAUCAGGGCAAGAAGAUUUUGGGAUUGACAGAUUGAGAGUUCUUUCUUGAUUGGUCUAGUGGUGGUGCAUGGCCGUUCUUAGUUGGUGGAGUGAUUUGUCUGGUUAAUUCCGUUAACGAACGAGACCUUAACCUGCUAACUAGUGUUCCGAUCUCAAAUCGGAAGCACUUCUUAGAGGGACUAUGUGAUAUAAUCACAUGGAAGUUUGAGGCAAUAACAGGUCUGUGAUGCCCUUAGAUGUCCUGAGCUGCACGCGUACUACAAUGGCACUUUCAACGAGUUUUUCCUGAUCCGAAAGGAUUUGGGUAAUCUUUUUAGUGAGUGCCGUGAUUGGGAUAGAUCUUUGUAAUUGUGGAUCUUGAACUAGGAAUUCCUAGUAAGCGCGAUUCAUCAAAUCGUGCUGAUUACGUCCCUGCAAAAUGUACACACCGCCCGUCGCUUUUACCGAUUGAGUGUUCAGGUGAGUCUUCUUGAUAGUUGCAAAAUUAGAAAUUAAACAAACCUUAGCACUUAGAGGAAAAAGAAGUCGUAACAAGGUUUCCGUAGGUGAACCUGCGGAAGGAUCA
rnacentral:rRNA from 1 species